UUUGAGGAAUGUAGACUAAAAGAUCUAUAAAUUGAUUUAUCGAAUAAAAUUCUAAAUGUUUAUUGAUAAUGACGAUAAACAGAUUGAUGCCUUGACUAAUUACGUGCCAGCAGUCGCGGUAAUACGUAAGAGGCUAGUGUUAUUCAUCUUUAAUAGGUUUAAAGGGUACUUAGACGGUAAAAAUUUUCUUUUUUAAAGGUACGUUUUUACUAGAGUUUUAUGUGAGGAGGUAGUACUUAAGGUGUAGAGAUAAUAUUCGUUGAUACCUUAGGGACUGGUAAAGGCGAAGGCAACCUUUUAUGUAAAAACUGACGUUGAAGGACGAAGGCACAGAGAACGAACAGGAUUAGAUACCCUAGUAGUCUUUGCAGAAAAUGAUGAAUGCCAUAGGUUAGGUUUUAACUUAGUCUAUAAAUGAAAGUGUAAGCAUUUCACCUCAAGAGUAAUGUGGCAACGCAGGAACUGAAAUCACUAGACCGUUUCUGACUCCAGCAGUGAAGUAUGUUAUUUAAUUCGAUGAUCCACGAAAAACCUUACCACAAUUUGAAUGUUAUUAAUAUUAAUUAAUAAUACAAGUGUUGCACGGCUGUUUUCAGUUAAUGUUGUGAAACUGCGGAUUUGUCCGUGGAAUUAACGAAUACCCCGGCUUUAUUUAUAAACUAUUAAUAUAGAGCAUUUCCUGACACCUUACAAUUGUCAGGACAAAGGGGAAUAAGACAAGUCCUCAUGGCCUUAAUAUUGUGGGCUAUAA
rnacentral:rRNA from 1 species